GCCUGGUUAGUACUUGGAUGGGAGACCGCCUGUGAAUACCAGGU
rnacentral:rRNA from 10 species